GAACUUUGUUCAGGGUCUCAGACCAAGUCCUGUGUUCUGAUGGGCCACUGAGACCCUAGUUCGAACUAGCAAUAAAGACCUGUUUUGCUCUUGCAUCUCACAACUGAGCCUGGUGACUGCGGCUCCGCAUGGGGGACUCAAGGCAACAGGGCACAACAUUUGGGGGCUUGUCCGGGAUCCCCGUGAGGAGCAGCAACCCCAGCCACUGGGAUUUAUUCUGGCACCUAUCAGUACAAAACUGAAGUCAGAAAAUAUCUAGGAGGUGCUUAGGAGGGAAGGAAAAAGAACCUGGGGCCUGAAUCACAGUACAAAAGGAUCAUUUGCUCCUGAGCCCAAUGAACAUGCCCUGGGGUGAUGGAGAAAGAAGCUCC